CACAGCCUUAGUCCAUAUUAAGGCAAACAUGCUCCUCCUCAUGUGAGGAUGGAAAUUCCCAACAGGACAUAGUCCCCUUAAUCCCACCACAAGACACAGGAAAGUUCCAAUGAAACCUCAAAACCUAAAGCAGAAAGGACCACUCCAGUCAAACAAACUCUUGAGUUUUCUCAUCAACCUACUCCCCACCUGAGCACUGUAACUUCCUUUAACAAAUUUCUUCAUCCUUACUACUUCUGGAUGCUCUGCUCAAUUCCUUGUUCAGGACAGAAAGAGCCACAUUUAUGGGAUAAGACUGACAUGAGCUAUGGUUAACAGGUUCACAUGAUGAAGGAAAGAUAAUAAAAGAAGAAUGGCAUUGACAGAUGCAGUAUUUCAUAACAUCCCAUAAAGUUGCCUCCUGAAAGGAAAAUAAACAUCUAACCAGUUUAUUGUUUCAGGGUCUUCUCAUCAUCUCAUGCGGGCAAGAUGAUUCUACAGACAAAGAAAUCAGAAGAUGGAAAUUCCCUGUAGAGCGUUCAUCUCUACACAUGAGGCCUGAGUUAAUGGUCUCCCUGCACUAGCUCAGGUCCCGCAGAAGCUGAGCCAGGCACCCUCAGGAGCCCCCUACUCAUCACUCUCUCUCCUGCCUGGAUUCUGAUCACUCCCACCUUGCUCUCCAUGAAACCCAACAUCUGAAGAGAACCUGCCUAACAAGAGCAAGCCUGACCAUCCACCAGAGGCCUCUUGCUAAUGGGCCUCUUCUUUCUUCACCUCAAGGUUGGCAGAGGCUAUGCAGCAGGAUGCUGUGUGCCUGUUUCUCCACAUGGAGGCGCUGUGUCCUUGGGUUUGACACCUAAUAAUUGAUUGAAAAGUGUCACACCCUGAGGUCAGGGUUUCCUCCUUUAUCUGUAACAAGCACAACACGAUACUUUGAACCCACUUAUUCCUCAGGCCCACAGAUUUCGAACAACCUGCCCAACUGUGGGGCUGUUUUGUGGGUCCAAGUGGGCUUCAAAGCAAUGAAUGAUAAAAUGAGAGCUGUGAAUCCUUGGGAUCCUCAGACGGGGAACCCUAAGGAAUGGAAAAGGCUGGGUGUGUUUGAAAACAGGACUGUCUCUGUGGCUGGCAGUGAGUCAGAUAUGGCAAUGAGGAGAUCCGUGAUUGGCCUGGAACUCUUUCCUGACUUCAAGAGGAGUUAAUGUCUUUAAUUCUCAAAUGCUGGUGAUACAAAUAGAAACAAAUCAGUUGUCAUUGUGCUGAUACACAGUGAGAACACUUGAAAAAAGUAACUUCUGCAUUUUGGCCCCAGGUUUAUUUUACAUAAGACAAUGAAAAUUAACUGCACUGCCAUUAAUGACAGGUUUUACUUAUUUAAGUUAGAUUGGUAUUCAGUGUUUGUAGUUUACCACACUUUGCUACUCGUACAUGGCUGGGAAAGUGCUGAUUCUGCAUUUUGGUGCUUGUGAAUAGUGCCUCAGUGACCAUCAGAGGGAAAUGUCUCCACAGCAGCCUGGUUCCUUUCCUCCGCACACGUCCCCAGGAGUGAGACUGCUAUCUCAUAGAAUGGUCCUAUUCUUAAUCUCUUGAUAAGUUCUAAAGCUGCCCCCAUAAAGACUAACCUUACCUUCCCAACAACAGCGUUCUCCUUUCUCCAUACUAUUGCCAGAUUCUGUUAUCUUUGCUUUUCUAAUAACAGCCCCUCCAGCAGAAGUGAGUUGAGAAAGAUAAACACUCCCUGCUCUCACUCACAGGCAGAGCUGAAAUAGUUAAUCUCCUAGAAGCAGAGUGCAGGGUGGGGGUUACCAGAGGAUCAGGCAGUGGCUUCUUCAGGGUUGGGAUGACCAAGGUCACAGGUGCAGAGACACAGCCACCCAGGAACCAGGAGUGGACAAGAUGUGUGAUGCAGCAUGGGGACUAUG